UACGUAGGGUGCGAGCGUUACUCGGAAUUACUGGGCGUAAAGCGUGCGCAGGCGGUUGUGUAAGACAGGUGUGAAAUCCCCGGGCUUAACCUGGGAACUGCGCUUGUGACUGCACGGCUAGAGUACGGCAGAGGGGGGUGGAAUUCCACGUGUAGCAGUGAAAUGCGUAGAUAUGUGGAGGAACACCGAUGGCGAAGGCAGCCCCCUGGGCCGAUACUGACGCUCAUGCACGAAAGCGUGGGGAGCAAACAGG
rnacentral:rRNA from 1 species